GAUGAAGAACGCAGCGAAAUGCGAUAAGUAAUGUGAAUUGCAGAAUUCAGUGAAUCAUCGAAUCUUUGAACGCACAUUGCGCCCGCCAGUAUUCUGGCGGGCAUGCCUGUUCGAGCGUCAUUUCAACCAUCAAGCCCCAGGCUUGUGUUGGGGACCUGCGGCUGCCACAGGCCCUGAAAACCAGUGGCGGGCUCGCUGUCACACCGGGCGUAGUAGAUUUUAUCUCGCUCAGGGCGUGCUGCGGGUUCCGGCCGUUAAAAAGCCUUUUUUACCCAAGGUUGACCUCGGAUCAGGUAGGAAGACCCGCUGAACUUAAGCAUAUCAAUAAGCGGAGGA
rnacentral:misc_RNA from 1 species